ACUUUUACCAAAAGGAUAACAUGGGAUUUGGCAUCACCAGCUGUAGGUGUCUAAAAAUACCCAGGACUUAACUUCCAACUAAGCUUAACUUUUACCACAAGGACAACGUUGUGCUAGCUGGAGCACAGUGUCAAUUCCAUUACAGAGAAGAAUCUUGUAAUAGCAAUUGUAACAUUGAUGGAAUUUUGUUUUUUUAUACAGAUCAAUACACGUGGCACGUUGUUGACGGAACACAGCACCAGCGUGCAGACGACAACAUCCACCGACUUGUCUUCGACUACGGUCAAGUCUUCUCCUGAUGCAACGACAAAGCGUUCAUAGGGAGGGUGACCAUCUUCGAUUAAGAAGAUCUUCAAUCUUGGAUUGAUGCUGGACAGCAUUUACCAUGACUUUUUCAAACCACGGCCUAGUACAUAGUCGUGGAGGAGCUCCCCUUACCUGAACAGUCUGGACCUGAGGGGACUGAAUGACUGACGGAGCCGACUGGAUCACCCCCUGAACCUGG